rnacentral:rRNA from 1 species
UACAGGGGGGGCAAGCGUUGUUCGGAAUUACUGGGCGUAAAGGGCCAGUAGGCGGCCAACUAAGUCACACGUGAAAUCCCCAGGCUUAACCUGGGAACUGCGUGUGAUACUGGAUGGCUUGAAUUCGGGAGAGGGAUGCAGAAUUCCAGGUGUAGCGGUGAAAUGCGUAGAUAUCUGGAGGAACACCGGUGGCGAAGGCGGCAUCCUGGACCGAGAUUGACGCUGAUGCGCGAAAGCCAGGGGAGCAAACGGG